UUAUGAUUCUAACUGAUUUUUUUCCCUUGUUAGAAUUGGUCUGGAUAUGAAGCUACUAAACGCAUGAGACACUGAAAUCAUCUUAAUUGAUCUUGCAGGUGAAAUAUUAGAAAUCUGCUUCAGCACCUUAAUUAGAUUUUGUAAGUUUUCCUUGAUUCUUCACUCCUUGUUCGUACAAUUCUACAAAGGUCACUUGUUCUCCCGCUUUUCUGUGAGUGUAGCUGUGGCGAUGGCCUCGGGAUUUUCUCUCGUAGGUGGAAAGGUUGAAUAUUUACUUCGACUCCAGAUUCAAGCACCACUCAAGAAUGCUUCUGCCAUUUGAUUAACAAAACUACGUGUUUAUUUAUGUGGGAAGCAGAAUCGGCCACCCUUGAAUCUUUAUCAAGAUCAAAGCCUGGAUGUGUAUGACCCUGGAUACUAGAUUUUGCACUGAUUGUAGCUAUUUGAUCUUUGCAUUACCUGCUGUAUAUGUAUAUCAGCUCUUGAUGCAUUAUAUCUCACGUGGAUGGUGUUAUCAUAAUAUUUUUGUUUGGUUUAAAAUCUUGUGUAACUGGAUGAGUUAUUUUGUGCCAA